rnacentral:piRNA from 1 species
UUGGCUUUGUGGUCCCUGCCUGGGCC